rnacentral:lncRNA from 1 species
CCAGGCUACUUGCAAUACUAAGAAGACCUCUCUUCCCUUCAUGAAUCUUUCUAAAGCCUAAUGCGGAGGUUAGGUGGGGAGACCUCAUUGGGAUCUGCAAGAGUCCCCUGUGUCCCCUCCUCCUCCAGGAAGCUUUCCCGGAUGCCCCAGGCUGGAUUUGAGGUCCCAUUGCUAUGCUCUCAAUGCACCCAGGAUUGGCCUCCACACUCUUCAUUCCCUGAAAUUGUUCACUUUCUCCUCCAUCUACUCUCCCCACCUCCCCCAGCCAUCACCACCCCCUGUGAGUCCCCCAUUAGCAAGGCCUGUGUGAAAUUCAUCUCUGUCUGCCCAGACUAGGGGACCAGCCAGUGUUGAUGAGUUGAAUGCAUGGAUUUCACCUCACUGGGAGUCUACUUUGUUUACUUUCUAGAUAACUGUCCUCCAAAGAGCGGAUGGUUAAUUGUAUGUGUCAACUUGAGUUGACCCCAGGAUACCCAGAUUAAACGUUAUUUCUGGGUGUAUCUGUGAGGGUGUUUCCAGAUGAGAUUCACAUUUGAGUCUGCGGACUCAGUAGAUGGCCCUCCUCACUAUGGGUGGCAUCGUCCAAUCCAUUAAGGACCUGGAUAGAGCAAAAGGUGGAAGGAGUAAUUUGCCCCUUUUCCCGUCCCCGACUGUUGAGCUGGGACGUCUCAUGUCUUCUCCUGCUCUCAGACUGGGAUUUAUGUCAACACCCCUGGCUCUCAGACCUUUGGACUUGGACUCAAUCAAACCACUGGCUUUCCUGGGUCUCCAGCUUACAGACAGCAGAUCUUGGGAUUUCUCAGCCUUCACAAUCAUGGGUGAUUAAAAUGUUCUAAAAUUGAUUGUGGAGGCCGGGCGCGGUGGCUCACGCCUGUAAUCUCAGCACUUUGGGAGGCCGAGGCGAGAGGAUCACGAGGUAAGAGAUCGAGACCAUCC